CUUGUGAUGAACACCAUGGAUCGGGUGAGGCGACAAGCUGCAAAAUGGUUCAUUUGAGGUCGACACCUGACAGUCUACUUCCAGGAUCACUCCAAGUGCCUGCUACCCAGAUCCUGAGAUAUGUUCACCAUUGAAGAUCCUCCUCAGGCUGACCGCGGUGUGACCCCAGACUGAGCACCUCCUUCUUCAAUGCUUCAAUUGCGAAUUUGCAUCUCUCUAUCGGCCCCCACACCCACUGCUGCCUGAAGACAGCUGAUGUGAGUCUUGUCCACAUCCAACCAUCGCCUCAUGGAGUGGAUGCCUACUUGCCGUCUUCUCCGACCAGCCUGGGAGUCUUGGAAGAGCUCGGCUGUUUGGCAGCAGAUUGUUAAAUUGCCCAUUAUGUUAGGUACAUUAGU